GCUGCCGUGGCUCAGAGGUAGAGCACACCCUUGGUAAGGGUGAGGUCGCGGGUUCGAUCCCCGCCGGCAGCACCA
rnacentral:tRNA from 1 species